rnacentral:rRNA from 1 species
GAUGAACGCUGGCGGCGUGCCUAGUACAUGCAAGUCGAGCGAAUGGAUUAAGAGCUUGCUCUUAUGAAGUUAGCGGCGGACGGGUGAGUAACACGUGGGUAACCUGCCCAUAAGACUGGGAUAACUCCGGGAAACCGGGGCAAUACCGGAUAACAUUUUGAACCGCAUGGUUCGAAAUUGAAAGGCGGCUUCGGCUGUCACUUAUGGAUGGACCCGCGUCGCAUUAGCUAGUUGGUGAGGUAACGGCUCACCAAGGCAACGAUGCGUAGCCGACCUGAGAGGGUGAUCGGCCACACUGGGACUGAGACACGGCCCAGACUCCUACGGGAGGCAGCAGUAGGGAAUCUUCCGCAAUGGACGAAAGUCUGACGGAGCAGCGCCGCGUGAGUGAUGAAGGCUUUCGGGUCGUAAAACUCUGUUGUCAGGGAAGAACAAGUGCUAGUUGAAUAAGCUGGCACCUUGACGGUACCUAACCAGAAAGCCACGGCUAACUACGUGCCAGCCGCCGCGGUAA